CUUACCAUCAAGACCUUCUGCAAUAUCACUAAUAAAAAUAUCAAAGAGAAUGGGUGGAAGUACAAAUCUGUACUUGGACACAUUCUCUUUAAUAUUUUUAUUAGUGAUAUUGCAGAAGGUCUUGAUGGUUAG
rnacentral:miRNA from 1 species